UGCUUAACAGACUGAGCCACCCAGGCACCCCAUGCCAACUUAUCUUAACUGAUUUUACAGAGAAGGAAACAACACAGAAAGAUUGACUUGCUGGAUCCUUCCAAAGGGAACUCUAUGGAACUCUAUGGAAAAAUAGCUUUAUAUUGGAGAAGCCUGACAAAUACUACCUCAGCCAGGUGACCAAGUCUUUACUCCCAGAUCAAUCAUUAGAAAGACAUCAAACAAACCCCAACGGGGGUACAUUCUACAAAAUAAUGCACCAGUACUUUUCAAGAAUCCAGUAAAGGUCAUCAAAAACAAGGAAUCUGAAAAAUUGUCAUAGCCAAGAGGAGCCUAAGGAGAUAUGACAACUAAAUGCAAUAUAGUUUCUUGGAGGAGUUCUUGGAAGAGGAAAAGAACAGCAGCAAUACAAACAAACCAAAUUGUCAAACACUGAACCAGUAGAAGGUAAAUGUACUUCCAAAAUCAUUUCCCUGAUCCCCUGCAAAGAGCUUGAUCACACUGGAGAAUGUAACUCAUGGAGUUGCCGAACUGUAUUUUUCUGCUUUAUCUCAUGCAGAAUAAUCAAACUAAGAGUUUUCUGAAAUGUCACUUCACAAACACACUGAAGAAACUGGGGAGGUCAAGACAAGUGGUGUAUGCAAGGCCAUCUGUGAACACUGUUUUCUGAGGCUGACUUUUCCAUUACUGAGGACAGUUUCAUGUAACGGACCAAGCAUGGGGCAGAUCCUAUCAGCACUGGAUCCAGGCAUCAUGGAGCCUUGGGGUGAAUCUUAGCUCUUGAUGUGCCAGGAUGCUUUUGUCAAAUUCUUAUUCUUUCUAAAUUUCAAUGUCUUUACUUGUAAAUAAGAAAUACAGUUGCUUUAAAAUUUUAAGAUUCUGGAAGUAAAGUGUAG